AUCUGUCUGCUACAGGAGUUCGGUCAGAGUCCGAUUCCCGUAGAAGUCCGGAUGGGGCUCAUUUGUAGAGGAAGCUCGGCCGAAGCCUGCCUGCAAUAGAAGUUCGGAGGGAAUUUGUUCACAAUAGAAGCUCGAGUGGAGGCUUACAGUAGAAAUCUAUCAUGGAUCGCCUGUAGUAGAAAUCCAAAGUAGACCGCUUAUUGUGGUAGCUCGG
rnacentral:lncRNA from 1 species